UACGUAGGGGGCAAGCGUUGUCCGGAAUCAUUGGGCGUAAAGAGCGUGUAGGCGGCCUGAUAAGUCGGCUGUGAAAGUCAAGGGCUCAACCCCUGAAUGCCGGCCGAUACUGUCAGGCUAGAGUCCGGAAGAGGCGAGUGGAAUUCCUGGUGUAGCGGUGAAAUGCGCAGAUAUCAGGAGGAACACCGGUGGCGAAGGCGGGUCUCUGGGCCUUGCCUGACGCUGAGGCGCGAAAGCUAGGGGAGCGAACAGG
rnacentral:rRNA from 1 species